rnacentral:snoRNA from 1 species
AAGAAAAAAAAAGGACCUUAUGUAUCUCUCUGUUACUAGAGAAGGUUUUGAACUAUAGGAUGUGGACAUGAUGAGGAAGGCACACUGCUUGUUCUGAGUGUGAAGCAGGCCCUUCGUGUUACUUUGCUGUAAGUGCCGUUUGCCACCGGUGAUUGUUCUCUUCCUUUGGGAGAGUAGGAGGGUAGUGUAUUUCAGC